rnacentral:rRNA from 1 species
GACGUAGGGCGCGAGCGUUGUCCGGAUUUAUUGGGCGUAAAGAGCUCGUAGGCGGCUUGUCGCGUCGACCGUGAAAACUUGGGGCUCAACCCCAAGCCUGCGGUCGAUACGGGCAGGCUCGAGUUCGGUAGGGGAGACUGGAAUUCCUGGUGUAGCGGUGUAAAUGCGCAGAUAUCAGGAGGAACACCGAUGGCGAAGGCAGGUCUCUGGGCCGAUACUGACGCUGAGGAGCGAAAGCGUGGGGAGCGAACAGG